AUUUAUUUAGUAUAUAAAGUACAUUUGACUUCCAAUCAAAAAGAUUGAUAUCAUCAAAAUAAAUA
rnacentral:tRNA from 1 species